rnacentral:lncRNA from 1 species
CAAAAGUGUAAGACAAAAACAAGAAGAAUAGAAGGUUUUGUGAAUUUUUUUUUAAAAUUUUAGCAUUACAAAUAAAAAAUGAAGCAUUACAUGACUCAGGUAUUAGCACGGUCGACACAAAAAUCAACAGUAGUACGAUGGACAAAUAAAGGUGGUAUUAGAUGGAUGAUGGAUGUCAAGGUCAUUUAAUGGUGAAAAGAUGGUAAAAAGAAAACAAAAGGGUAAGACAAAAACAAGAAGAAUAGAAGGUUGCGUGGAUUUUUUUUAAAUUUUUUAGCAUUAACAAUAAAAAAUGAAGCAUUACAUGACUCAGGUAUUAGCACGGUCGACACAAAAAUAAACACUAAUACGAUGGACACAUAAAGGUGGGAUUAGAUGGAUGAUGGAUGUCAAGGUCAUUUAAUGGUGAAAAGAUGGUAAAAAAACAAAAGCGUAGGACAUGAAGGGUGGGGAUAAACACAUGAAGGGUGGGGAUUAAAAAACGAUUAAAAAAAAUAAAAAUAAAAUAAAAACUACACGUGGGUUGCAAAAUGACGCA